UGAGGAAUAUUGGUCAAUGGGCGAGAGCCUGAACCAGCCAAGUAGCGUGCAGGAUGACGGCCCUAUGGGUUGUAAACUGCUUUUAUAUGGGAAUAAAGUGAGGGACGUGUCCCUUAUUGCAUGUACCAUACGAAUAAGGACCGGCUAAUUCCGUGCCAGCAGCCGCGGUAAUACGGAAGGUCCAGGCGUUAUCCGGAUUUAUUGGGUUUAAAGGGAGCGUAGGCUGUUUGUUAAGCGUGUUGUGAAAUGUAGGAGCUCAACUUUUAGAUUGCAGCGCGAACUGGCAGACUUGAGUGCGCACAACGUAGGCGGAAUUCAUGGUGUAGCGGUGAAAUGCUUAGAUAUCAUGACGAACUCCGAUUGCGAAGGCAGCUUACGGGAGCGCAACUGACGCUAAAGCUCGAAGGUGCGGGUAUCAAACAGG
rnacentral:rRNA from 1 species